GGGCCAUAGCUCAGUGGCAGAACAUCUGCUUAACAUGCAGAAGAUCCCAGGUUUAAUCCUUGGCAUCUCCC